GACGUAGGAUGCGAGCGUUGUUCGGAAUUACUGGGCGUAAAGCGUGCGCAGGCGGUCUGUUAAGACCGAUGUGAAAUCCCCGGGCUUAACCUGGGAACUGCAUUGGUGACUGGCAGGCUUUGAGUGUGGCAGAGGGAGGUAGAAUUCCACGUGUAGCAGUGAAAUGCGUAGAUAUCCGGAGGAACACCAGUGGCGAAGGCGGCCACCUGGGCUGUACCUGACGCUCCAACACGAAAGCUAGGGGAGCGAACGGG
rnacentral:rRNA from 1 species